rnacentral:rRNA from 1 species
GACGGGGGGGGCAAGUGUUCUUCGGAAUGACUGGGCGUAAAGGGCACGUAGGCGGUGAAUCGGGUUGGAAGUGAAAGUCGCCAAAAAGUGGCGGAAUGCUCUCGAAACCAAUUCACUUGAGUGAGACAGAGGAGAGUGGAAUUUCGUGUGUAGGGGUGAAAUCCGUAAAUAUACGAAGGAACGCCAAAAGCGAAGGCAGCUCUCUGGGUCCCUACCGACGCUGGGGUGCGAAAGCCAGGGGAGCGAACGGG